rnacentral:rRNA from 1 species
UGGGGAAUUUUGGACAAUGGGGGAAACCCUGAUCCAGCCAUCCCGCGUGUGCGAUGAAGGCCUUCGGGUUGUAAAGCACUUUUGGCAGGAAAGAAACGUCAUGGGUUAAUACCCCGUGAAACUGACGGUACCUGCAGAAUAAGCACCGGCUAACUACGUGCCAGCAGCCGCGGUAAUACGUAGGGUGCAAGCGUUAAUCGGAAUUACUGGGCGUAAAGCGUGCGCAGGCGGUUCGGAAAGAAAGAUGUGAAAUCCCAGAGCCCAACUUAGGAACUGCAUUUUUAACUACCGGGCUAGAGUGUGUCAGAGGGAGGUGGAAUUCCGCGUGUAGCAGUGAAAUGCGUAGAUAUGCGGAGGAACACCGAUGGCGAAGGCGUCCUCCUGGGAUAACACUGACGCUCAUGCACGAAAGCGUGGGGAGCAAACAGG